rnacentral:rRNA from 1 species
UACGUAGGGGGCGAGCGUUGUCCGGAAUUACUGGGCGUAAAGGGCGCGUAGGCGGCCUUAUAAGCUUCGUGUGAAAACCCUGUUAUUAAGGCAGGAGGUGCACGGAAAACUGUAAGGCUUGAGUGCAGGAGAGGGAAGCGGAAUUCCAAGUGUAGCGGUAAAAUGCGCAGAUAUUUGGAGGAACACCGGUGGCGAAGGCGGCUUCCUGGGCCUGUACUGACGCUCAUGCACGAAAGCGUGGGGAGCAAACAGGAUUAGAUACCCGGGUAGUCCCUGAGCGGGCU